CCAUAACACCAGUUAAAUAGCCGCGGUAACUCUGACCGUGAUAAAGUAGCAUAAUCAUUUGUCAUUUAAUUGGUGACUAGAAUGAAUGGUUAAACGAAUCUCUAGCUGUCUCAACAAGAAAUAGAACAAAAUUAAAAUUACAGUGAAGAUGCUGUGAAUAAAUUGCAAGACGAAAAGACCCUAUUGAGCUUUACUGGAUGUUUGUGAACUUUUCUCAUCAUAAUAAUAUAAGUGACCUAUAAAGCAAAUAAGACAGUUUGGUUGGGGCGACCACCUCUAAAAUAGUAACAGAGGAGAUCUAAAGGUUAAAUUUAUGAAUACUAACUUUACUGAAAUAAUAAUAGUUUAAUCAGUUACUCACUAAGUAGGACAUAAUGACCCGCUAUUUUUUAUGUAAAAAAUAACGAUUACAGAAUAAGUUACCAUAGGGAUAACAGGGUAAUAGUUUUCAAGAGUUCAUAUCGACGAAACUGUUUGCCACCUCGAUGUUGAAUUGUGAU
rnacentral:rRNA from 1 species